rnacentral:rRNA from 1 species
UGGGGAAUAUUGGACAAUGGGGGCAACCCUGAUCCAGCAAUGCCGCGUGUGUGAAGAAGGCCUUCGGGUUGUAAAGCACUUUAGGCGGGGAAGAAGAUAUGGAGUUUAAGAGAUGCCAUAUUUGACGGUACCCGCAGAAUAAGCACCGGCUAACUCUGUGCCAGCAGCCGCGGUAAUACAGAGGGUGCGAGCGUUAAUCGGAUUUACUGGGCGUAAAGGGCGCGUAGGUGGUUUGGUAAGUGAGAUGUGAAAUCCCUGGGCUUAACCUAGGAACUGCAUCUUAUACUGCUGAACUGGAGUACGGUAGAGGGUAGUGGAAUUUCCGGUGUAGCGGUGAAAUGCGUAGAUAUCGGAAGGAACACCAGUGGCGAAGGCGGCUACCUGGACUGAUACUGACACUGAGGCGCGAAAGCGUGGGGAGCAAACAGGAUUAGAUACCCCCGUAGUCC